GACGAACGCUGGCGGCGUGCUUAACACAUGCAAGUCGAGCGGAAAGGCCCCUUCGGGGGUACUCGAGCGGCGAACGGGUGAGUAACACGUGAGUAAUCUGCCCUUCACUUUGGGAUAACCCCCGGAAACGGGUGCUAAUACCGGAUACGACCGGCAACCGCAUGGUUUGUUGGUGGAAACUUUUUGGGUGGGGGAUGUGCUCGCGGCCUAUCAGCUUGUUGGUGGGGUAAUGGCCUACCAAGGCUUUGACGGGUAGCCGGCCUGAGAGGGUGGACGGCCACACUGGGACUGAGACACGGCCCAGACUCCUACGGGAGGCAGCAGUGGGGAAUAUUGGACAAUGGGCGGAAGCCUGAUCCAGCAACGCCGCGUGAGGGAUGACGGCCUUCGGGUUGUAAACCUCUUUCAGCACCGACGAAGCGCAAGUGACGGUAGGCGCAGAAGAAGGACCGGCCAACUACGUGCCAGCCGCCGCCGUAACAC
rnacentral:rRNA from 1 species